AGUGAACGCUGGCGGCAGGCCUAAUACAUGCAAGUCGAACGGCAGCACAGCAGAGCUUGCUCUGUGGGUGGCGAGUGGCGGACGGGUGAGGAAUACGUGGGAAUCUGCCCAGUCGUGGGGGAUAACGUAGGGAAACUUACGCUAAUACCGCAUGCGCCCUUCGGGGGAAAGCCGGGGACCUUCGGGCCUGGCGCGAUUGGAUGAGCCCACGUCGGAUUAGCUAGUUGGCGGGGUAAAGGCCCACCAAGGCGACGAUCCGUAGCUGGUCUGAGAGGAUGAUCAGCCACACUGGAACUGAGACACGGUCCAGACUCCUACGGGAGGCAGCAGUAGGGAAUAUUGGACAAUGGGCGCAAGCCUGAUCCAGCCAUGCCGCGUGAGUGAAGAAGGCCCUCGGGUUGUAAAGCUCUUUUGUCCGGAAAGAAAGCGCCGGGUUAAUACCCUGGUGUCCUGACGGUACCGGAAGAAUAAGCACCGGCUAACUUCGUGCCAGCAGCCGACGGU
rnacentral:rRNA from 1 species